UAAAAGCUUUCCAUUAUCUAAGGCACAAGCAAAAAGCUAAAAUGAAGGUUUAAUGACUUCCUCAGUCAUGGGCCUCAGUCAUGAAAUGCACGAGGCCAUCAUGCAUUCCUCGAGCGCCUUUUAUUUCAAGGGGUGUGUCAAGCAUGCACAGGGAUCCUGUUCAGGCCACCAGCCAGAAAUAUGGGCUUACAAAGUUUAGGACCACAAGGAUUUAGUCACAGUGAAGAGCUAUGCUAAUAAUGGAGAACAAAACACUGGCAACUACAUAAGGGUGAAGUGAAAGGUGCUAAUCCCCCUGCAGACAGAGGUCGUGUUAGGCAGCUCUGGCCGUCAAGCUUUUUAAACUGCUGAGGGGAAGACACUGACUGCUGCUGCUGGGCUACACAGGGUCAGAACUGCAGUGCAGGCCUCCAAGAGCUUGAUAAACAAAAGCUUUAUUGAUGCUUCCUGAGAUGGAUGUGGAGUAUGUUACGAACAGCAAAUAAUUCGUCUGAAGUCACGCACGGUCUGUCAAACACUGACUGAAUCCCCAUUCCCACCUCCUGUCAGUUACUGCUUCUCAAUCUCUCAUCUCACUGUGAGUAUGUAGCAAUACAAGGCAGUGUUGUGUGGGGAAUGGUGGUGGUAAAACAGCUGAUUGACUUGAUGAUGGUCAAUAAGGUGUCUGAGUGAAAUUCAGAAGACCUCAAUUCCAAUAAAUAGGUGUUGUGAAAUACCCUUGUGUAUCAGGCUUUUCCAGCAAGGUUUGAUAGCAAGGGUGGCCUCUGUGAGAAAAGUGCAGUAGCUGUCCCAUGUUAGAUAACAGCCGGCUCCAAAAGGGACCCACCGCUGCCCGAAGAUGCACCAAUGAGAGAUGCUGGUUGUGCCUCUGUGAGAGCACGUUUAAGAAAGGGGAAAAAAAUGCUGUGCAACAGCAG